rnacentral:piRNA from 1 species
UGAAAAGUGAAAGUGGUAAACGUUCUGC